rnacentral:rRNA from 1 species
AGCGUAGACGGAUGGACAAGUCUGAUGUGAAAGGCUGGGGCUCAACCCCGGGACUGCAUUGGAAACUACCCGUCUUGAGUGCCGGAGAGGUAAGCGGAAUUCCUAGUGUAGCGGUGAAAUGCGUAGAUAUUAGGAGGAACACCAGUGGCGAAGGCGGCUUACUGGACGGUAACUGACGUUGAGGCUCGAAAGCGUGGGGAGCAAACA